AUUGAACGCUGGCGGCAGGCCUAAAACAUGCAAGUCGAACGAGUGGCGGAAGGGUGAGUAAUGUCUGGGAAACUGCCCGAUGGAGGGGGAUAACUACUGGAAACGGUAGCUCAUACCGCAUACAAUCGGAUGUGCCCAGAUGGGAUGAGCUUGUAGGUGAGGUAACGGCGCACCUAGGCGACGAUCCCUAGCUGGUCUGAGAGGAUGACCGGCCACACGGGAACUGAGACACGGUCCAGACUCCUACGUGAGGUAGCAUUGGGGAAUAUUGCAAAAUGGGGUAAAGCCUGAUGCAGCCAUGCCGCGUGUAUGGAGAAGGCCUUCGGGUUGUAAAGUACUUUCAGCCGGGAGGCGUUACCCGCAGAAGAAGCACCGGCUAACUCCGUGCCAGCAGCCGCGGUAAUAC
rnacentral:rRNA from 1 species